rnacentral:rRNA from 1 species
AACGCGAAGAACCUUACCUACCCUUGACAUCCUACGAAUUCUGCAGAGAUGUGGAAGUGCCGAAAGGAACGUAGAGACAGGUGCUGCAUGGCUGUCGUCAGCUCGUGUUGUGAGAUGUUGGGUUAAGUCCCGUAACGAGCGCAACCCUUAUCUUUAGUUGCCAACAUGUAAUGGUGGGGACUCUAAAGAGACUGCUGGUGAUGAACCGGAGGAAGGCGGGGACGACGUCAAGUCAUCAUGGCCUUUAUGGGUAGGGCUACACACGUGCUACAAUGGCGCGUACAGAGAGUUGCGAACCUGCGAAGGGUAGCCAAUCUCGAAAAGCGCGUCGUAGUCCGGAUCGGAGUCUGCAACUCGACUCCGUGAAGUCGGAAUCGCUAGUAAUCGCGAAUCAGAACGUCGCGGUGAAUACGUUCCCGGGCCUUGUACACACCGCGCAUA